UUUAACCGUCAAAUCCGUAGCGGACCCCAAUCGGGGUCUGAACAUCAAUGUCACCGUAAGCUCGGUUUAGACCCCAAUUGGGGUCUAAGAAUCAGUCAUACACUUUCCUAAUUAUUUACGCUCAUAUUUAUUUUCUUUCCAAUCAAACCACAUUUGUGAGUACUAAAUAAAAUAACUAAAUAAAUUUAAAUUAUUUUUACGCAUUCAAACCUUUCAUAUUUAGCAUCCCGUUAGAAAUAUACCUUUUUAAAAUCCAAUCGUAAUUACCGGGAAUUCUGAUCGAACUCGCCAUGUUUGUUUACAUUAGUUGUUUUUUUAAAUUUGAAGACGCAUAGACAAGAUGGCGACGGUGAUAGAAGUUUUGCAUCGAAUGAUCCGAAUCGUUAAAAUAAAGAAUCGAUUUAAUAAUUUAAAUCGAUAUUAUAAUAUUACUAAAUUGCACUUUUGUAUACUUACCAUAAUCUGAAAAUAAAUUAGGAAAAGUAAAAUGACUUAACUUAUUUUGAAAAAAAUGCUAGAAAGUCAGUGGUAGAAAAUACGUUGUAGCCGGAAUAAAAAAAAUCUUCGGUUUUUAGGGUUUCUGAAGACGGCAAAUGAAGACUUAUUUAUUUCUUCGGGUGUUUUAUGUGCAGGAUUCCUGUAGACCUGCCAAACUUAAUGGCGAUUCGUUACUUCCAACUUUUUAACUGAGCGGCAAAGCUAUUUGACGAGAGCCGUAGUUAGGUGUAGUUAUCGCAAAAUUUUAUGACGAGUUUAUUGUUUGAAAGGGCAAAUAGUUCGCUGUUCAUCGAAAGCUGCUCCAAGAUGGAAAGAUGGCCGCCGCCGACUUAUUUUUAACCGACUUCCCAAAAAGCGGAGGUUCUCAAUUCGACCCAUCAGAUCCUGGACCUAUUAACAAAUAUGGGGAAUAUAGCCCUUCGACCAAAAACAAACAUCCAAAUUGAGAACCACCUCCUUUUUGGGAUUCGGUUAAAAAUAUUUGGUGACUUUAAAAUCAAUUAUUGUUUCUCAUCAUCAAAUAAGUACAUUACUUUGGUAGUUACAAAUUGCAUUAUAUUUCAGAACACCAGGCUUACCCUCCGCCGAAACAAAAAUCUUAGAAUUGUUGAGAAAUAAUAUAAGAAUAAAUUAAAAUUCCGUAACAGGUAAUAAAAAUUCAAUUUAAGUUAAAAAUUAUUACGAAUGACGCAACACCAAAAUAAAUAAUACAUAUAAAAAUUUAAUGCUAAAAACUUUCAUAAAACUUAAAUAUCUUUUUUCUUAACAACAAAAACAAAUUGAACCUAUAAUUUCAAAUUAAUAAAUAAAAUUGAAAUAAGUUGCUAUUAAAAAAUAGGUAUAUAUAAAAUUGGUAUUCGAUUAUUUAUAAUAAAUAUCCGAUUUAGGUAUCGAAUGCACAACGCUGAUUGAAAAAAAAAAAUACUCCAUUCCAAACUCUUCUUGUCU